UACGGGGGGAGCAAGCGUUGCUCGGAAUCACUGGGCGUAAAGGGUGCGUAGGCGGGGCUUUAAGUCAGGGGUGAAAUCCUGGAGCUCAACUCCAGAACUGCCUUUGAUACUGAGGAUCUUGAGUUCGGGAGAGGUGAGUGGAACUGCGAGUGUAGAGGUGAAAUUCGUAGAUAUUCGCAAGAACACCAGUGGCGAAGGCGGCUCACUGGCCCGAUACUGACGCUGAGGCACGAAAGCGUGGGGAGCAAACAGG
rnacentral:rRNA from 1 species